rnacentral:rRNA from 1 species
UACGAAGGGUGCAAGCGUUAAUCGGAAUUACUGGGCGUAAAGCGUGCGUAGGCGGUUUGUUAAGUCUGUUGUGAAAUCCCCGGGCUCAACCUGGGAAUGGCAAUGGAUACUGGCAGGCUAGAGUGUGUCAGAGGAUGGUGGAAUUCCCGGUGUAGCGGUGAAAUGCGUAGAGAUCGGGAGGAACAUCAAUGGCGAAGGCGGCCAUCUGGGACAACACUGGCGCUGAGGCACGAAAGCGUGGGGAGCAAACAGG